rnacentral:rRNA from 1 species
AACGAACGCUGGCGGCAUGCCUAACACAUGCAAGUCGAACGAGACCUUCGGGUCUAGUGGCGCACGGGUGCGUAACGCGUGGGAACCUGCCCUUAGGUUCGGAAUAACUCGGAGAAAUUUGAGCUAAUACCGGAUAAUGUCUUCGGACCAAAGAUUUAUCGCCUUUGGAUGGGCCCGCGUAGGAUUAGCUUGUUGGUGGGGUAAUGGCCUACCAAGGCGACGAUCCUUAGCUGGUCUGAGAGGAUGAUCAGCCACACUGGGACUGAGACACGGCCCAGACUCCUACGGGAGGCAGCAGUGGGGAAUAUUGGACAAUGGGCGAAAGCCUGAUCCAGCAAUGCCGCGUGAGUGAUGAAGGCCUUAGGGUUGUAAAGCUCUUUUACCAGGGAUGAUAAUGACAGUACCUGGAGAAUAAGCUCCGGCUAACUCCGUG